ensembl:lncRNA
GAUAGGUGGGAUGGACUGAGAGGUUGAGGGGUGGUCUAUGGUGAUAGGUGGGAUGGGCUGAGAGGUUGAGGGGUGGGAUUAAAGAGCUGAGGUCUAUGGUGAUAGGUGGGAUGGGCUGAGAGUGGCUGAGGGGUGGUCUAUGGUGAUAGGUGGGAUGGACUGAGAGGUUGAGGGGUGGUCUAUGGUGAUAGGUGGGAUGGGCUGAGAGGUUGAGGGGUGGGAUUAAAGAGCUGAGGUCUAUGGUGAUAGGUGGGAUGGGCUGAGAGUGGCUGAGGGAAGGGUUUAAAGUGCAGAGGUCUAUGGUGAUAGGUGGGAUGGGCUGAGAGUGGCUGAGCGUUGGGAUUAAAGAGCUGAGGUCUAUGGUGAUAGGUGGGAUGGGCUGAGAGUGGCUGAGGGGUGGUCUAUGGUGAUAGGUGGGAUGGGCUGAGAGUGGCUGAGGGGUGGGAUUAAAGAGCUGAGGUCUAUGGUGAUAGGUGGGAUGGGUUGAGAGUGGUUGAGGGGUGGGAUUAAAGAGCUGAGGUCUAUGGUGAUAGGUGGGAUGGGCUGAGAGUGGCUGAGGGGUGGGAUUAAAGAGCUGAGGUCUAUGGUGAUAGGUGGGAUGGGCUGAGAGUGGCUGAGCGUUGGGAUUAAAGAGUUGAGGUCUAUGGUGAUAGGUGGGAUAGGCUGAGAGUGGCUGAGGGGUGGUCUAUGGUGAUAGGUGGGAUGGGCUGAGAGUGGCUGAGGGGUGCGAUUAAAGAGCUGAGGUCUAUGGUGAUAGGUGGGAUGGGCUGAGAGUGGCUGAGCGUUGGGAUUAAAGAGCUGAGGUCUAUGGUGAUAGGUGGGAUAGGCUGAGAGUGGCUGAGGGGUGGUCUAUGGUGAUAGGUGGGAUGGGCUGAGAGUGGCUGAGGGGUGGGAUUAAAGAGCUGAGGUCUAUGGUGAUAGGUGGGAUGGGCUGAGAGUGGCUGAGGGGCGGGAAUAAAGAGCUGAGGUCUAUGGUGAUAGGUGGGAUGGCUGAGAGUGGCUGAGGGGCGGGAUUAAAGAGCUGAGGUCUAUGGUGAUAGGUGGGAUGGGCUGAGAGUGGCUGAGGGGGCGGGAUUAAAGAGCUGAGGUCUAUGGUGAUAGGUGGGAUGGGCUGAGAGUGGCUGAGGGGCGGGAAUAAAGAGCUGAGGUCUACGGUGAUAGGUGGGAUGGGCUGAGAGUGGCUGAGGGGCGGGA